UACGGAGGGAGCUAGCGUUGUUCGGAAUUACUGGGCGUAAAGCGCACGUAGGCGGCUUUUUAAGUCAGGGGUGAAAUCCCGGGGCUCAACCCCGGAACUGCCCUUGAAACUGGAGAGCUAGAAUCUUGGAGAGGCGAGUGGAAUUCCGAGUGUAGAGGCGAAAUUCGUAGAUAUUCGGAAGAACACCAGUGGCGAAGGCGACUCGCUGGACAAGUAUUGACGCUGAGGUGCGAAAGCGUGGGGAGCAAACAGG
rnacentral:rRNA from 1 species